rnacentral:sRNA from 1 species
GAGCUCAGCACAUUCCAUGGCCUAGAGGGGCCACACAGAGGCCCCAGUGGGACCCAUGGCGUGGAGGCAGGUAUGGGGAGUUGUGGGGAGAUCCCAGGGUGGUCUGGGGCCUGGAACCGGCCAUUGGGAGGCCCCAGCAGUUUCAGUGCCCAGGGUCUCCCUGCAGAGCCAUGCAUGGCAGAGGAAGUGUGUAGCAUGAGCUGGUACACGCCCAUGCCCAUCAAGAAAGGCAGUGUGGUCAUGCGUGUGGACAUCAGCAGCAAUGGCCUGGGGACCUUCAUUCCAGAUAAAAGGUACCCUUUCCCAAGAUGGGGGCUGGGGUGGACUCCGGGGGAAUUCCUCACCCCAGGGUCCCCAGAGGAGCCAGUGGGAGAUCCAAGGGAGAGAAUGGGGAGAGGAGAGGCAGCUACGAGCUGUGGAACCCCUGACACUGGGACCUCACCUGCGCCUAUUCUGCACCUGCUGCUAGGUUCCAGAUGAAUAUCAACGGCUUCCUGAAGAGAGACCGGGACAAUAACAUCCAAUUCACUGUGGGAGAGAAGCUCUUCAACCUGAUGCCCCAGUACUUUGUGGGUGUCUCAUCGAGGCCCUUGUGGCACACUGUGGACCAGUCACCUGUGCUUAUCCUGGGAGGCAUUCCCAAUGAGAAGUACGUCCUGAUGACUGACACCAGCUUCAAGGACUUCUCUCUCGUGGAGGUGAACGGUGUGGGGCAGAUGGUG